rnacentral:rRNA from 1 species
GAUGAACGCUGGCGGCGUGCCUAAUACAUGCAAGUCGAGCGAACAGACGAGGAGCUUGCUCCUUUGACGUUAGCGGCGGACGGGUGAGUAACACGUAGGUAACCUACCUAUAAGACUGGGAUAACUUCGGGAAACCGGAGCUAAUACCGGAUAAUAUUUCGAACCGCAUGGUUCGAUAGUGAAAGAUGGCUUUGCUAUACUUAUAGUUGGACCUGCGCCGUAUUAGCUAGUUGGUAAGGUAACGGCUUACCAAGGCAACGAUACGUAGCCGACCUGAGAGGGUGAUCGGCCACACUGGAACUGAGACACGGUCCAGACUCCUACGGGAGGCAGCAGUAGGGAAUCUUCCGCAAUGGGCGAAAGCCUGACGGAGCAACGCCGCGUGAGUGAUGAAGGUCUUCGGAUCGUAAAACUCUGUUAUUAGGGAAGAACAAACGUGUAAGUAACUGUGCACGUCUUGACGGUACCUAAUCAGAAAGCCACGGCUAACUACGUG